UUGGGGUUUGCAGCGUUUUCUUGUCACUAACUUAGUCCCUCUCUCUACACUGGCAGCUGUGAGAACCCCGGUGAUCCAUACCGUGUGGUCUUCCAUCCGGUGGUAGCUGACGCCAGGGUCCACUUCCCCCCUCACGUCAAACGCUUUGAGGUCUAUAUGUUUUCCUUCGCCGAGGAUGCGGGUGAGCCGAGUGGCCAGGUCUUUGUCCAUUGUGAUGUGGUCAUCUGUGAUGCCAGUAGUCCCUCUGGCGGCCCCUGUAGUGGACAAUGUGUGAAUCAGGACAACCCGAAAAGAGGUUGGUCUUGUUUUAUGCUUUUCAGACCCUGGCAGACCAUAACUGAACUAAUAGCUUCUCUCUCAACAGGACAACGACAUGUCAAAGACCUCUUUGAGGAGCGUCAUUUAUAUGUUUCUUCUGGAUACAUUCUUUGGGUGUAAUGUCUCUAACAUGUCAAAUAAAGUGUUCUAUAUAAAACAAUCCUAACCGUUGGACUACCUUAAUUGUAUCUGAUUUGCGUUUAACACCAAGGCGCAUGUAGUAGGCUUGUCGUCUGACGUGUAUCAAUCAACCCUUUUGUAAGCAUGGAACUCUGAACCAUCCACCGGAGGGAGAUAAGUGUUGCACACCAAUUUCCCGUCUAGGACAAACAAUGGGUGUCAAAACAAAAGCUUUCCAAUGUCCAGUAGGAUGAACUGACUCAAUGUUAUAGCAGAUGGUGUUUUGCCAAAGUGAGGCCAGCAGGGCUGUGGUUGGCUGCAGUGUUGGUAAUGUUCAACUGAAAUUACAACUUUCCUUGAUACCUCUCACUAGCUUGGUUUCCAUCCAAAUAUGGACAUUUCUUCUUUAAUGAUAUGCAUGUCAAUCGCUCAUGGCUCAAAUGGGAAGAGCUUGACUUCAUCACUACUUGUUUGUAAGACGUGUUGACAAGCUGACUGUACCGAGCUGUCUUUUUUAAACUACUAGCACACAGCUCGGACACCCAUGCCUUGCAUUCCCCACAAGACAUCUCUUCACAAUCUCCAAGUCCGAACUACGGAAGGUACAGAGCCAUGAAUACGUUGCAAUCUAUUCUGCAUCAGGAUAAGCUUUAAACACACACCGUAAGGAACAGCGCGGACUGAAGAAACACACUCCUUUAAAAGUUGCGAGCCUGCACCGCGGGAUGGCUUCAUUGCUCCAGACCACAAGGGGGAGUUUGCGCACUCAUUAUGCAUUUGGGUCCCAAGGCUUUGACCAAAGACGAAUUUUGACACGAGCCACCCUUGCCUUGUGGCGCUCAACGAAGAUUGCUGACAAAAUAGAUGGAAGUUGUCUUAACGAGUCAAGCAAAUGUACAAUUUGAGGAAUGUGUUAAUGUAGAGACGUUUGUGCGGCUUUUUUUGUCAGUUAAAUUACGAAAAUGAAUUUGUCUUUCAGGGACUCCUGAGAACCAACAAACCAGGCUGUUGUCUUGUGAAACAGUGGAUGGAAAGAAUCUAGCUGGCUAAAGCAUUGACUGCACAAUUGUGUAAGCUUGCCUUGCAGCUGAAGUAACAUGGCUAGCUAUUUACUUAGUGUCGGAUUAAAAAUAACUGUUGCCUAUCUGGGUAUGGACCUUAAACGUAAAGUUCUGAAGUAAUAUUCAUACCAAUCCAUGAACCUCAAGUCUGAAUGGCAUUAAUGAAGCCCAGAGUAGAAUACCUUUAUUGUGCGACGGAUGCAAGACCUAUACACACACGUAUUUUAGUUAUUACCACGCGUGAGAUUCCCAUAUUGUAGCUUGUACAUUGAAUAUAUUCACCGAUCAUGUGCGGUUCAGGUAUGACUGACACAUUCUUUUUCAGUCAUAUCAAAUGAUGCGGUGUCUGCAUGUAUGUAUUACACUACAACAGCGUUUACUGCUCCUGUGAUAUCAAUGAUUACACUAACUAUACAUGAUUGAUUUAAUUCAUAUAUACAGGAAAAAAACCUAUGCAGAUCUAACUCAUCUGAGGACACGAGUGUUUCAACCAGUGGAGAAUGUGAAACGCUUUAUUGAAAGUGCAUUUUAAUUGUAAGAGUUCAAUCUUGGGCGGGCAGGUGGGUAGAGCGUUGGACUAGUAACCAGAAGGUUGCAAGAUCGAAUCCCUGAGCAGAAACGGUAAACAUCUGUCCUUCUGCCCCUGAACAAGGCAGUUCCUAGGCCGUCAUUCUUAUCUGACAUGCCUAGUUAAAAGGAAGGCAAAUCUCUACUUCAAUGCACAUAUGGUGUGCAUUAGAUGAGGUGGGGGGAGAGAGAGCAUAUGAUUCAUGAAUGACAGUGCUUCCCUAAUAUUCUCUCAGUUCAUCCCAAUUGCGCUGUCGGGACUGGAUUCCUCUCACAUCAAAACAUACAUGCAGACAAGAGCAUGAUUAAACCUUUUUAUUCUAACACGGUCAGUCAUCUUAAAUCAGGAGGUGAAAUGCAAAACUGACUUUGGAUCAUUAACUCUGGGAUUUCAAUGUAAAGCAUCUAAUAAUACUUCCAGUUGACUCAACCAAGUGACAUCAUCUCUAUGAUCAGAACAUGCCCUCUGUCAGCCAUUUCAGAUGCGGGAGGGGUUCAACAAAACAGCUGAUAUAACCUAGAGGAUUUAGGGAGAGAGGGAUGGCGGACACCACACACACACAAGUACUUUAAGCUGAAAAACAGACCCGUGAGGACAAACGAUAGAUAAUGCCAAUAGGUGUCUGCGUCACAUACAGUAUCUUCUUUCAAAGUGUACCUGAAACAUUUUAAAGAGGGCUGUGUUUCUCACCACUUGGUUAUUGCAAGGCUAACCCAUGACUUGGCAGCAACAGAUAGUCCAGUGGAAAUGUUUGUGGUGUAAAUCUGAAAAUUAGCAGCUGACAUCUUAAGGGUUUUUUAAUUCAUGCAAGCGAGACAGAUUCCACGGAGGAAAAAGAACACAGAACAGUUUAAUUACCUCUGGUUAUGGACACUUUUUGCCAGCAAUAAAGCUUCCACGGCCUGGUCCUCACACAGUGAACAUCUGGCAAUAUCUACAUUUUCGACCCCCUUGGUCAGCUCGCUCUCUGAAUGUGAAGAAAGCAAUAACUGAGAUAUGACCGUUCAAUCUAAAGCAGCACGUGCCAUUUUUUUAGGAUAAGUCAAUACAGCCCAGUGCUGCUUACCUGAGGUGCCAUCUUCGUAGGUGUCCGCUAUGACUUCCUUUUGUGUCGGGGGAAAAAAGUGGCUUUCAGAACAGUUCUUUUUGAUUUUGACAAAAAGACAAUUGGCCUGUGAAAAACCACACCUUCAUACAAACGUGCUACUGUAUGCAGAAUUCUUGACUCGCAACUGAAGACGCUGCCCUAUCCUGCCAGCACGCCCACAAGCGAGCCACUCGGGAGCAGAAUGAUGACGCGUGGAAG
ensembl:lncRNA